AUCAUGGUACUUCCGGCUUGGACGCGUCACGGCAUCGGCCGGCUCGGCAUCAGAAUGCGGAGAGAUGAAAUUUCUAUGG
ncrna:unclassified sequences pemK RNA